AUGAAGGCACAAGACAUCGAACUGUCCUUCCUGACCACCCAGUGGAAGCCAGGCCCCCACCAGUGCAGCAGGCCCUCCAGGGGCCAGGCCCUGACCCCAGGGGUCGACACAGGCACCCAGGCCCUGGCACAGUCCCCAACUGACCCUCUCAUCACCCCAGCCCAACCUGUCCCACGGACCCGGUCCCCAGAGUGCAGCAGAAAGGCCGAGGCUGAGCCCGAGGCUCCCAUGGCCCAGCCCCCACCUCUGCAACACACAGCCAUUCCCUCUUGGGAGACUGAGGCACCCCUGCCGACUCUUGGGCCAUCCCUAUCAGAGGAUACCACCCUUGUGCCUGGCACUGCCACGGUCUCAGUGCCUUCCACCAGCAGCACCCAGAUGCGAGCCAGAGAGCCAGAAAGGACGGUGGAUGCCAGUCUCAGAGAGCGUGGCAACCACACAAGCCCUCCUGGCCUCUACCUGCCUUGGCCUCCCCUGCAGGGCGUGUGGCUCCAGGGACAAGCCACCUUUACCUGUCUAAUGUUGGGGACUGACCUGCGGAAGGCCUGCUUGUCCCGGGAGCUGGCCGGGUCUCCCCUGCACGAGGGUGUGGACAACGGGCCACUGACAGAACACGCCAAUGGUUCCCAGAGCUGGACCAGCCACCUGGACCUGCCUGUGUCAUCCUGGGCCUCAGGGGCCAACGUCACCUGCACCCUGAGCUCCCCAGGUGUAUUCUCCCACAUGGUUUCUGCAGCUCCCAGGGAACAUGCUGCCUCUGCGCCCAGCAGCCUCACCGUCCAUGUCCUGACUGUGUCCAGAGCGGCCUCCUGGCUCCCGUGCAAGGCGUCUGGCGUCUCGCCCCUGGACAUCCUCCUCACCUGGCUGAAGGACCAGGUCCAAGUGGACCCUGAUUUGUUUGCCACCGUGUCCCCCAUGGCUGAGCCUGGGAACGGCACCUUCAAGACUUGGAGUGUCCUGUGUGUCCACAUGACCCAGGCCCCUAGCCUGGACACCUACACAUGUGUGGUUUGGCAUGAGGCCUCCCAGAGGUUGCUCAGCGCCAGCUGGAGCCCGGACACGGCCAGUCUGGCCAUGACUGCCCCAGUGCCCCAGAGCCACAGCGAGAGCACUGGCAACUCCGUGGACCUGGAAGACACCGGCAGACUGUGGCCCAUGUUUGGGGCCCUCUUCCUUCUCACUCUGCUCUACAAUGGCUUCGUCCCCUUCAUCAAAAGCUCAGCCGCCAAUCCCAGCCCACGCUUUCCUGAGCCAGCAGCCCUGACUGUGGCCCCCUUGCCUUUCUGCCUGCCAGCUGGCCCCAUAAACAACCUUGCUCACAUCCCUGCCUCUUGUCUCCCUGCCUCGCUCAGCUCUGAGGCUCCACAGCUGCAGGCAGGCGUCCGAGAGAGUCCCGACCGGGAUGGGGUGCAGCAGCAGCAGCCGUCCCGGGAGAAUGGGGGAGGGCCGGGCACCAAGCCCCUGAACAUGGCCCUGACUCAGGGCUGUGCAGGCCGGCAGCGGUUUCCUAGAACAGAGCAGAAAGCCGAGGGCUCCCCGUGCAUCAAGAUGGGCUGCCUCACUUUCCCAGGCCCCCAGACCCCCGGGUACCCCUGA